rnacentral:lncRNA from 1 species
GGCGAUUUGCGCCACCUAUCCUGAGUUCCACACGGCGAGGCAGUGAUUCUAGGGUUAGGUGAUGAUUCUAACAACUUCUGUUUUUGCAUAUCAGCCUUCACUACGGGAUUUUUUUGGUUUUUGUCAAUUCAUUGAGAUUUUGGAAGACUGGCAUCAGGAAGUGUUUCUGACGAUUACAAAAUACGACAAGCCACAGCAACUCUGAAACCAUGCAGCGAGCAAAAAGGCAACUGAGUGCUGUGUUGCCCAAGGUGCCCAGGUCGAUACAAGGACUCUUCACUGAAAUAAGGACCAUGGGAGGAGAAACAGAGCUAAUCGAGUGGAAACGUCAAUGGGGAAAUCCAGGUCAACUAUAAUUCCCAUCAUGACUCAGCGGCAUGAAGACUCUGACUAUGGCGACCUAGAACUGACCUCAGGGAGAAAUCAGUCAAAACAGGAUCAUUCGUUUCCAGGAUUCUGGAGGAAAGGCCAUGUGAGGGUGCAGCAAGAAGGUGACUGUCUCCGAGCCAAAAAGAGACCUCUCCCAGAAGGAAUUUACUGGCACCUGCUUCUUGGACUUCCAGCUACCACAACUAUGAGAAAACAAAUGUCUGCUGUUGGAGCCGCCCCAUCAUAGGUAUUUUGUUAUGGCAGCCUGAGUUGACUAAUACACUACUGAAGGAAUUUCUUCUUUGUCAGGACAACUAGAAACCGUGCUGUUGCCGUGUUGAUAUAUAUGCCUGUCUUCAAUCAAAAUUGUUUCUAAGACAAAAAAAACAAGACUCAAAACCAAAACACACAGACAGUACAAAUUCGGAAACUUUCAAGAAGUUAGUGAUUACUCCAGCAGUGAAAUGCCUGCUGUGAUGGUCAAUUUUAAUCACCUUCAUUUUACAAAUUAGCAAACUGAGGCCAAAAGAAAGGAAGUCAGCUCCUCACAACUGACCGGAACUGCGUUUAACCGGGUGCCCAGGGCUCUUGCCAUUAUACCUGCUGCUUUAGAGCCGCACGUCUUGUCCAUUCCCGGGGCUUCUGGGCAUGGCAAAGAGGAGCGGGGGACAGCUGACUGCAGUCUCACGCCCUGCCAUACCACCAAGGGGUCAAGGAUUUAGGGACACACACUAUCUUCCCAAAACAGGACCCCACAGAGAAGGGGUUUUUUUGUUCUUCUCUUAUUUAGGAGAUCAGUAGAAAUCUUUUUGAUUUCAAUUAUAAAGACGUUAAGGAAUUUGCAGAUUAUCUUGAGAACCAGGAAUAGUGCAUUUUACUCAAUAAUUUUAUUCAGAACUUGCACUCUGUAAACAAUAACUGUCUAGCUGAGAUAAUCAGCACUCUAAAAAUUUAUAGAUGGGUAGAAAUUUAAUAUUUAAAAUUAGGGUUAUAGAUACGAGUUUUUAAAAAGCAUUUGCAACAACCCCAAAAGUACUACAUACAUGUGAUAAUUCCCCAUGUCAUGCUUUAAAAUUUCUCCUUAUAAAUCUAUCAUCUAUCUAUCAUCAUCCACUUAUAUAUAGAUACACACACAUCAUAUUGAAGAUUAAGAUAUCUGUGACUAAGGGGCACCUGGGUGGCACAGCGGUUAAGCAUCUGCCUUCGGCUCAGGGCGUGAUCCCGGCGUUAUGGGAUCGAGCCCCACAUCAGGCUCCUCAGCUAUGAGCCUGCUUCUUCCUCUCCCACUCCCCCUGCUUGUAUUCCCCCUCUCGCUGGCUGUCUCUAUCUCUGUCGAAUAAAUAAAUAAAAUCUUAAAAAAAAAAAAAAAGAUAUCUGUGACUAAGACUGCUGCUUAUCCAAUAUCCAUUUUCUCCUUCUUCCGUGGUACUAAAACCCCUACAUUAAUGGUUACAUAUAUGUGCCCAGCUUUAAAGCUACAGUUUCCAGCCUCCCUGAUGGAUAUCCUUUCUCCAAGUGGACAUAAUUGGAUGAAGAUUCUAGGAAAGCUAUUUUAAAACAGCUGACUAGCAAUCAGGAAUUCCUCUCUUUCCUGCUGCCUGAAAUAUGGGCGUGAUGGUUGGAUUACAACAGCCAUUUUCGAAUCAUGAGGUGACCAUGACGAUAGAACCCAUGAGAUAGGGAUAAGAAAGGAGAAAUAGUGAAGGAGUUUGAUCUUGGGUGACAGUGGAGCCACCAACGAAGUCCCAAACCAGCUAAAUCUGGACUUAUUUUACAGGAGAGAAAAAUGUAUAUCUUUUUUGAGCUUCAAUAAUUUUAGAUUUUUAUAUAUCUACUAACUGGAGUAUAUGUUCCAUAAGGGCAGGAAUCUUUGCCUGUUAUGUUCACUGGUAUAUCCAAGGGGCCUGAAAUAGCCAUUCAAGAAAUAUUAUUGUUGAAUGAAUGCCACAUAAUACAAACCUAAAGUCUCACUGUAUGUUUUGUAAUACUGCAAAGGGUAAGCUGAGAAAAUUCUGGAGUUUUUGCAAUGCUAAACAGAGAUUAGCAAACAAAAAGCAGCUGGAACCUUGGCAAAGAGUGGCACAGGAAGAUUUUUCCAACCUAAGCUAAAAAUAGUGUGGUCUCUCUGGGAAGGACAGAGGCUGGUUCCAGCUGGGGUAAACUGUUUAUGGUGAUGCUGACCACGGAAAAAAUUCUGAAGGGUUCUGAGAUAUUAGCCACUCCUUACCUUGCAAUACAAGACUAUAAAGUUGUAAAAUAUUUCAUCCCACCAGCAAGCUUUUCUAGAAAAUGAAUGAUUAAGUAUAUAAAUAAAUAAACCACAUUCUAAUACUGGAUUUGGGACCUCUUGAAGUAAAAUCCGGGUCUAAUUUGCUUUGUCUCCCAACACCUUAAAGAAUGCUCAGUACAUAAUAAACCUUUCAUAAAUGUUGCCAACAUGAGUUUGAAUUGGAGAAGUGGAAUAGGAAACAUGAAAUAUUUCUUAUCUUCUCCUAUUUCUCCCCUUCUCUUUUCCCAUACACCUCCCCAUACCUGCACUUCUCAAGUGCAGUCCAAGUUUGCUAGAAGUGUCGAUGGAAGUUGAUUUAAGGACUGCCUGAAAUUCCAGUACUAGAAAUUUAUUCCCUGUGAAUUUUCUACAUGAUUACUUGAAGAUUCUUCUCUUGAAUGCAAGUAGGCUCUAUGACAAAGAAUACUGAAUUUUAAUCUCAAUUUGCCCUUUAGUUCUUAGUUCUAUACUUUCCCUAGACUUUUUUUCCUCCUAUGUAAAAUGGAAGUUUCCAUUACAUCAAUCAUUUCUAGCUAGGAGGGCUUGAAGUCUAUAACAAGGUUAGAUAAAGUGUUCCAAAUAUUUCCAAAGCUAAACAAGAAUUAUACAUUUAUAAUUCUGCGGCAUAAGCCAGCCUGAAAUUCUAGUUUUGUUUUUAGGCUGAAAUUAUAGGGAUGCAAGGUGAUUACCAAUUAUAUGGUUACAAACUGGUUCUCUGAUGUCAAUAUUAAUUUCUGGUUGACCACUUAUGAAAUCAUGACAUUUUUGAGUUCAUGAAAGAAAAGUCUUUGAAAAAGUUUAUAGGUUUUAAACGGGUUGAUCUUCGAGGUUCUGCACUGCCAAGAGGACUAAGGCAUAGAGUUGCUGUCUGUCAUUCAGACCUUAUGCAUGAGUCUUUUCUUCAGCUUUAUUGGGGUAUAACUGAUAAGCAGAAGUUGCAUACAUUUAUACAUGCUUUGAUAUAUGUAUAUAUUGUGAAAUGAUAAAUACAAUCAAACUUAACAUACCCAUC